GUGUCAGCAGCCGCGGUAAUACGGAGGGAGCGAACGUUGUUCGGAUUCACUGGGCGUAAAGGGCGUGUAGGCGGUCUGGCAAGUCAGGGGUGAAAUGCCACGGCUCAACCGUGGAAUGGCCUUUGAAACUGCCGGACUUGAGGCCGUGAGAGGAGACUGGAAUUCCCAGUGUAGCGGUGAAAUGCAUAGAUAUUGGGAAGAACACCAGUGGCGAAGGCGAGUCUCUGGCACGGUUCUGACGCUGAUGCGCGAAAGCUAGGGGAGCAAACGGGAUUAGAUACCCCUGUAGUCC
rnacentral:rRNA from 1 species